AUUGAACGCUGGCGGCAGGCCUAACACAUGCAAGUCGAGCGAGCGGCGGACGGGUGAGUAAUGUCUGGGAAACUGCCUGAUGGAGGGGGAUAACUACUGGAAACGGUAGCUAAUACCGCAUACCAUCAGAUGUGCCCAGAUGGGAUUAGCUAGUAGGUGGGGUAACGGCGCACCUAGGCGAAGAUCCCUAGCUGGUCUGGGAGGAGGACCAGCCAAACUGGAAAUGAGACACGGUCCAGACUCCUACGGGAGGCAGCAGUGGGGAAUAUGGCACAAGGGGCGCAAGCCUGAUGCAGCCAAGCCGCGUGUGUGAAGAAGGGCUUCGGGUUGUAAAGCACUUUCAGCGGGGAGGCGUUACCCGAAGAAGAAGCACCGGCUAACUCCGUGCCAGCAGCCGCGGUAAUUAC
rnacentral:rRNA from 1 species